ensembl:snRNA U6 U6 spliceosomal RNA
AUGUUCACUUUGGCAAUACACAUAAUAAAAAUGGGAUGAUACAGAGAUUAGCAUGUCCCUGAGCAAAGAGGACAGGUGAAGUUGUGAAUCAUUCCAUAUCUUA